UUUGUCCUCCCUGAGGCCUUUUAUUUCCACAAAGCAGGAUUGGUUUGUCAGCUUCCACAGAUGCUGUUUCCUGCUGGUGGUGUCAGAACCUUCCUCCGACCUCUCUCACUGACGCCGUCUCGGGGUCUGCGGGUCCACAGCUGUGCUGACGCGCCUCAAACCAACAUACAGUGUGGAAGCUCCCACAGCCCUCAGUGCCGCCAAACUGGCCCGGCUGUGGGUCUCGGGAGAGGAGCCGCAGCCCCCCCUAGAGCCCAGGACCGAUGCCGGAGCAGCGCGACGCCCCGGCCGAGGGAGCGGAGGGACGCGGGCUCCGGCCCCAGCGUCCAGGGCCGCUCGGGGAAGCACGUGGACGUGGCCCCAGCCAAGGGCACGUCUGCCCCCAGCCUGUGUCUCCUACACGAAAGCCCAGCGUCCGAGUCCGGCCUGGCUUGACGGGUGUGUCCAGGCUAGCUUAUGGCAGAAGGAUCACCGUCACUCCUUCUCCUGUCUCCAGACAUCACAGAAUAACUGGAUUAGCUCAGUCAGCGGGGGCCUUGCUUGGACUUUCGGAACCGAAGCGUCUGUGAGGAUUAAUUCUGUCUGAACUGUGCUGGCAACUGUGUUCCCAUUGCCACCUUUCCUGGGCUUGAUGUGUCACCAAGCAGACACAACAUAGGCUCCUCUGGAAAAGGCAGGGUGCUGCCCGGAUUUCACCUUCUUUGUUUCUGUACUGUUGUGGUGUUCUCUAGAUUCACAUUUUGUAUACUCUACUUUCAAAACACUUUUAAGGGAGGUUUUUUUAAGGAUCAUUUUUGCCUGGAGCAGAAACAAAGAAACCUCCUGUUAAAAAGUGCCAAUAAAAUAAAU